rnacentral:rRNA from 1 species
CCUACGGGUGGCAGCAGUGAGGAAUAUUGGUCAAUGGACGGAAGUCUGAACCAGCCAUGCCGCGUGCAGGAAGACGGCUCUAUGAGUUGUAAACUGCUUUUGUACAAGGGUAAACCUGAAUACGUGUAUUCAGCUGAAAGUACUGUACGAAUAAGGAUCGGCUAACUCCGUGCCAGCAGCCGCGGUAAUACGGAGGAUCCAAGCGUUAUCCGGAUUUAUUGGGUUUAAAGGGUGCGUAGGCGGAUUGAUAAGUUAGAGGUGAAAUGUCCGAGCUUAACUCGGGAACUGCCUCUAAUACUGUUGAUCUAGAGACGGCGAGAAGUACGCGGGAUGCGCGGUGUAGCGGUGAAAUGCAUAGAUAUCGCGCAGAACUCCGAUUGCGAAGGCAGCGUACCGGCGCCGGACUGACGCUGAGGCACGAAAGCGUGGGUAUCGAACAGGAUUAGAUACCCCUGUAGUC